AUCAAGAUCAUAGAUUAGAGAGGAACAAAACAGGUUGGAAAGUCGAGGAGAAAUCACAUGAUAAUGGGCUGCAAAAAUUUCCAGAGAUGCAGAGCCUUUCACAUUUACAGAUUACAGGUUGAUGGUUUCAAAACUUCCAACUCAACAAAUGGACGUAUAACGGAAACUGUUGUGCAAGUAGGAAAAAUUGGCGAUACAAUAAAAUAAUCUGGGACGCCGGGUUAUUUUGCGGCAAGCAAACUCGUUCACUUUCUUAGGAUACUUGAUUAUUCGAAAAAGUACUUGCUGAUAAGACAGGAACUUUAACCUGCGUUUCUACGGAGUUCGUUAAGUGUUCUAUCGUGGACUGCCUGUGGGCUUGCAGUCACGGAGAAUGAGGAGGGCUCUGGAGCAAAGUCAGUCUUAUGGAUACAAUCCUACUGAGCAUUCGGAUGAGGCUAGAUAAUCGUCCGAUAAGGGCUACGAUUUUAAUGAUGAGAGAUCGAGAAUGUCAAAUGGGUGAAGAAGAAAACACUCGGACGUGAUUCCAAAAUUCCUCUGUUUACAGGCACUUAGUCCCACAGCCAUUCCCGAACUAGGAAAGGAUUGUACGAAGCUGGAGUCACCAGGUGAAGCUGCUUUCGUAAUUGCAGCAAGAGAGAGCUCAUGUUCGAGUUUUUAUCUUAACAUUUCAAAUUGAAUGAUCUAUCAGCUUUUAAAUGUCCUAGAAUUCAACAUGUCAAGAUCUGUAAUUGCGAAGCAUUCAUUACUUUCUUUGUGUAAUGUUUGAAAGGCUUGCCAAAAGCGGUGGGCGGUUAGAAGAGGAUACCACGGGAACAUGUUUAGGCCUAUGCAGAAGCAGGACCGAGGACCCUCAUACUUACUUAUCUAGACCUUGAUGAGGAAGAAUACAGAACUUUCAGCAAGAACUCAGGGGGUGUAGCAUCUGCUGAUCGCAAUCCACUUGUCGAUGGGGUGACCAAGGUUCCCGAUUGCAUCCACAAGCUUGCGCAAGUUGGAACCAAGAUGUGGGUUUUUGACUGGACAAGACGGGGACUAGAAUCAAUAUCAGGUACGAAGUUUUGCAUCAGCCCCCUACAAUUGAGCAGAAAAUAUGACAGCAAUAUUGAAAAAUUUCUGUCAGCUUACAAAUAUAUGAAUGCCCAAGCUUGCUUGUAGCCUUCUUAGGCAAGGAAUGGAGCAGAUCUUGUAGGAUUCCAAGGAAAGUAUCGAUCAGCAGAUAACAUAAGGGAGGUCCCUGAUUGGUGGAAGCUCGGAAGCAUUUGCUUUGAGUCUCUGACCAUCGAUAGGAAACCGCUGACUUAUGCUCUGGAAGAUGAUAUCAAGGACAAAAUUAUGCAGCUUGCAGUUGGUUGUUCGUCGGUCAUUUGCUGCAGUUGCAUCACCAAAACAGAAGGCAUUGGUAAUUUCGCACAUAUGUAUUCUCACACACAGUGUUUCGCUCUGCUUUAAUCAGUUGAACCGACUGAUGAACGAGGUCACUAGACUAGUCAAAUCUGGGACUGGGCGAUGGAGCCAACAGGUUGGAAUGCUUCAAGAAGCAGAUAUUGGAUUGGAAUUAGCGAUUUUCAAGGAAUGCAGGUGAUUAGACACUUCUUUUUUGUGUUUCCUUGAAAUCGAUGUUUUUCUAUUAAUGUAGGUGCGCAUACAUAUAGAUAUAUAUCUCUAUGCUCUCAUAUGAAAUUUCAGACCGUCAUGUCCAGCAAUGUAGUCAUAGCUCGGUUCUGGUACUUGGUAAGGUCGCUCCGCGUGCAUGGGCAUCAUUGUUGCAGGGGGGUCUCAUCAGUUCAACAAGAACAUCGCGUCAGGCACAGCGCCUCGUUUUCAGCACAACCCCUCAAUGACUGGCCUCCUAUCGCUCUACAAUAUUUUCUUUAUCUCACUUCCAGUCUUCAAUUCUCAAUCUGGAUGUAUCUGCAAGGUUCUGCAUCAUGUUCCUGAGGUUAUACCAACAAGGAGUUCAGGACGUCCUCUUCGGCUGAUCGCGACUCCCCAGUUGGAUGUUCAACAGACUUUUUAGUGCAGUGAGUGUAUUCUUCCUCUGCAGGGCAACCUAGAGCCUCAGGCCUCCAACCCAGAUGGUCAAGUUGCGGGACUGUGAAAUCCUCAGGCCUCUAAUGUACACUUGCAUCGUGUGGAUUGUGAACCUGCAAGGGGCCUGUCCAUCAGCUACUUCAGGAUGACACAUUACUUGCUCAAAAUGGGGCUCCAUCGUCCUCUAGUACCUCUUCCUCUUAGUCGACGGGGCCAUCUCCCCAACUAUCUUGAGCACUGCCUACAAAAUCCUCAUCAAAGCUCUAGCCUCCUAUCUUCUCGCUUGUCAUCCCAUUCGUAAUGAUCUCGACCUGAAUCCCAUAUUUGCCUUCCUCAGCCAUUCAAAUGUGAAUCUUCCCGAUGUAUCAUGAGAUCAUACAAUGGAUAAGGCAUGAGCAGAAACAGCACGAUCCCAAGCUCCCUGACAUGAUCAGGCCCGUGGGCUGUUUAUCUUCAAGGUCCUACCUAGUGGAAGAGAAUUACGCACCACACUUCCAGAUGAUCUUUUCUUUUUUCCCGUCUUUCCAACUUUGAAAUUAAGGACUCAGCAGGGUGGUUCUGGCACAUCUGAUAUUUUAGCAUGUGCCAUAAAGUUUCAGUUUUUAGGUGAUCAUAGGCUUCACUUGUAAAGUGUUACAGCUACGGAUUUCAUAUCAUUUUCUAAAUUUGUGCAGAAAAGAACAGCGGGAGGGUUAGGAAGUUCAUCAUUGUUGAUUGUAUUCGAAAAUUUGCAGCAUGUCUCGAUAAUUAACAAAGAGGAAACUCCUUUGAC